rnacentral:rRNA from 1 species
CCUACGGGAGGCAGCAGUGGGGGAUAUUGCACAAUGGGGGGAACCCUGAUGCAGCGACGCCGCGUGGGUGAAGACUGCCCUAUGGGUUGUAAACCUCUUUUGUCAGGGAGCAAUUGGCGCUACGUGUAGCGUUAUCGAGAGUACCUGAAGAAAAAGCAUCGGCUAACUCCGUGCCAGCAGCCGCGGUAAUACGGGGGAUGCGAGCGUUAUCCGGAUUUAUUGGGUUUAAAGGGUGCGUAGGCGGAAGGCCAAGUCAGCGGUAAAAUCGAGGGGCUCAACCUCGCUCCGCAGUUGAGACUGGCGUUCUUGAGUGGGCGAGAAGUAUGCGGAAUGCGUGGUGUAGCGGUGAAAUGCUUAGAUAUCACGAAGAACUCCGAUUGCGAAGGCAGUUCACUGGACUGCAACUGACACUGAGGCUCGAAAGUGUGGGUAUCAAACAGGAUUAGAUACCCGGGUAGUC